rnacentral:lncRNA from 1 species
AUACCCUAUCAGUCUCUCCCAAAGGAUAGUUAUUUCUGUGGUUAGCAUCGAAAACAGUGACUUAAUGUUUUUGAGGGAGAGAGGGGAAUGAAGUCUGGGUACAGCUUGAUAUCCAUCUCUUUAUUAAUAAUAGCCGGUUGAGAAACAGUCAUUACUGAAAAAUUGUCUGGAGCCCCCAGUGACAGAGGGGUUUGGUUUUAAACCUUUAUAUUGCUAAUUGGGACUCCUCCGUCAAAGUGGAUGUUGGCCAUGUUUGUAGCUGUCUGAUUUCAAUGAGAGUAAUUUUUUAAUGUGUAUUUAAGGAUCCACUUUUGGGGAAUUCACUUUAGAGCAUGCACGCACGCGUGUCUUUUCAGUGGUCACACUGAAACGCCACGCUCACGCACGCGCACACACGCAGCUGCGUUUAGUUUAAUGAUUAUACAUUCGUAUGCGUGCGUGUAGUGUGUUUAUUUCAAAGUGUAUGCAUUUCAAUAAAAGCAGGUGCAGCGUGAGAGUGUAUGGUGUGCGUUUGGAGGACGAAAAUACACAUGCUAAUGCAUAUGUAUAGAGCAGGAGCUCUGCAGAGUUAAACCACGCACACAUUUGUGUGCGCUUAUUACAAUGUGCAAGCUCCAGGUUUAAAAAAAAAUGAUGUAAAAUAUGUACAUACAAAUGCAGAGUUCUAUGAUGUGAUCAGAUAAAGACACUGGCCCCCUAUAAACAGUACAUGAAAA